UACAAAAUUUUCAAACACGCUUUUCUUUUCUCUUACGCUUCUAAAUUCAUUUCUAAAAGUCGCCUCAUAUUCCUUCAUUCUGUCUUCAUUCAAAAGUGCCUCACUUUUGUGCGUACAAAUUGCGAAAUUUUUAUAAAAAGCAUUUCAAUUUUAAUUUUUGUAUAUGUAUGUGUGCAAUUGGCAGCACUUUUCACUAGGCACUCCAGGAUCCCCUUAAGGGCAGGGUUGGGACAUUUGGCAAAUUCUAGGGUUUUCUACGUUACACGUAAUAUCAUGUAUAUUACGUCAAAUAUGUAUAAAACGUAAAUAACGUAAUACGUACUUAACCUUUAACAUCUAUUUUACUUGAGCGACGUUAAAUAACCUAUACCUACGGGUACAGUUGACAACGCGUGUCAAGAGACACAAUUACACAAAGGAAAAAAAAUUUACUUAGGCGUAUUCAGCGGACGUUCACAGCUCACAGCUCACAGCACAGAGCAUAGGCGACAUCAAGCAGUCACUCACAAUCAGUCAGGCACUAAUUCACUAUAUAUUAAUAUAAUACGAUGAAUUGUAAAGAUAAAACCAGUCGGCGAUUGGAAUCGUCAACAUCGUCCAAGCAACCGAAAGCACAAACCGCACCGACAACUGACGAAAUUGAUUUAGCAUUAGCUCAAUUUUUUUGGGUGCAACAUUUCAUUUAAUAUUAUUCAUUCACAAUAUUUUAAAAACUUUGUGAAACUUCUGUUUCCAACAUACAAACUUCUAACAAGGAAAAAACUUUCUACAACGUUGCUCGACAAGGUUUACCAGAAUCUACUGGCUGAAAGAAUCUCAUCUUUUGAGUCCGACGGAGUUCUAUUAAUUGACGGAUGGAAAAAUUCAUCAGCUAAUACAAAAAAAAUGUGAUGUGCAUAGUUCACACAAUAAACAAGUGCAUAUUCCUUAAAUCUUGGGAUACCUCCCAAAAGUCAUGAAUUGGCCUACCGCCACUCAUUUUUUUAUUUAUUAAAUUUAUUGAGUACACAACUACACACCAUA